AUGAAAAACUCAGGCGAGGCGACCAUCUGCGCUGCAGGGAACACUGCACUUCCGAUGAGUUUGCACGAGAGGUUCACUAUAAUCAGGAGCAUCGGGCUGGAGAGCGCCGACGAGGACGAGCUCAGUAUCCUUCUGGAGAGGAAGGCCGCUCCUGUCUGCUACGUCUGGUGCGACCCCUCCCCAUGGGUACACAUCGGCCAGGGGAUCAUGCUGGUGUUCAACGUCAACAAGCACAUCAAAGCCGGCUGCAGGGUCAAGAUCCUGAUGGCAGAUUGGUUCGCCCAUACUCGGCAAAUCCAACGACCUAAGAAAGAUCCAGGCCAUCAGACGCUACAUGAUCGAGAUAUGGAAGGCGGCAGGCCUGAACCUCAACGGGGUGGAGUUUGUGUGGCUGUCGGACGAAAUAAACGGCCCGGACUCCGGCGAAACAACAGUUUGGGGAGGACGGUAAGGUGUUGUGGCAUCGCGGAACCGCCCGUGGAGUACCAAGAGCUCGUCAAGCCGCAUGAACGGGGCGAUGUGGUGGGCGCGAGGCUCGUCUACACCUGCAUGCAAUGUGCCGCCGUGUUGUUCCAGAAGGCGAACGUAUGGCUGCUGUCCAUGGAUCAUGAGGAGGGCCUUCCCGAUGUCGGCAUGCUCACCAGAGAGUACUGCAGAGACAUGAAGGGUGAAGAUUAUGGAACUAUCAUUCUGUCCCAUGACGAGCUCCCCAAUUUGAUUUUAGACCAUGAACAUGCUAAGAUACAAGAUCCAAUGUUCGCCAUCUUCAUGGAAGACGAGGAGCGAGAUGUGCCUAUGAAGAUAAGGAACGCUCACUGCCCUGCGAAAGUUGCAGAAGGCAACCCAUGCCUGGAGUACAUCAAACAUAUUGUGCUCCCAUGGUUUGGAUGCUUUGAGGUGCCCAGCAAGGAAGAGAACAGUGGUGGCACUAGCAGGACGUUUAGGAAGAUGGAGGAGCUUAUCGCCGAUUAUGAGAGUGGUGUGCUGCAUCCCGUCGAGGUGAAGCUAGCCCUUACAAAGGCGCUGAACAACGUUUAUUAUGGAGACUAGGGAAGCUCAUGCCUGGAGUACAUCAAGCAUAUUGUGCUUCCAUGGUUUGGAUGCUUUGAGGUGCCCUGCAAGGAAGAGAAUGGUGGUGGCAUUAGCAGGGCGUUUUGGAAGAUGGAGGAGCUUAUCGUUGAUUAUGAAAGUGGUGCGCUGGAUCCCGUCGAGGUGAAGCUGUCCCUUACGAAGGCGCUGAACAGGAUUAUGAAUACUGUGCGUGGCCACUUCACCGACAACAGUAAAGCCAGAGAUCUAAAGGAAGCUAUGCAGGUGUACUACAUUCAUCAACCAACGCUGUUUGCAUAG
rnacentral:rRNA from 1 species